AAUCUUACGCAAUGGGCGAAAGCCUGACGCAGCCAUGCCGCGUGAAUGAUGAAGGUCNNNGGAUUNUCAAAUUCUUUCACCGGNGACNAUAAUGACGGUACCCGGAGCAGAAGCCCCGGCUAACUUCGUGCCUGCAGCCGCGGUAAUACGAAGGGGGCUAGCGUUGCUCGGAAUUACUGGGCGUAAAGGGCGCGUAGGCGGAUCGUUAAGUCAGAGGUGAAAUCCCAGGGCUCAACCCUGGAACUGCCUUUGAUACUAGCGAUAAUGAGUAUGAGAUAGGUAUGUGGAACUCCGAGUGUAGAGGUGAAAUUCGUAGAUAUUCGGAAGAACACCAGUGGAGAAGGCGACACACUGGCUCAUUACUGACGAUGAGGCGCGAAAGCGUGGGGAGCAAACAG
rnacentral:rRNA from 1 species